rnacentral:pre_miRNA from 1 species
AAUAAGAUCAUUUUUCAGUUUUCUAAUACAAUGGUUUGACUGUUCAUCUUAUUUGAAAUUUUUUUGCGAUUAAUAUUUUUAUUCUUACUAGAUGAUAAAACAUGAAUAAUAUUUUAUGUAUGGCUAAUUUUUUAAAGUUUUUUAUAAAUUUUUCAAAUAAGAUAAAUGAUCAAACUUUAGGCACAGAAAA